AAAAAACCUGUCAAUAUCAUCUGCAUGUCAUGUUGUAUUUUGCUACAAAUUCAAAAGUAAAAAAAAAUAUACUAUUUUGCAAAAAGUAAAACCUGUUUUAAGGAAUUUUUUUUAAAUUUAUUUUAAUUUCAUCUUAACCUUGUCCUACUUCAGGAAGUGACAUCAUUUUGGAAGGAACACAGCAGCACAAACAUCACUAAGUACUAUCAAUAUAGUAAUAUUAAAAUAUUAUAUGAUUUUCUUUAUUUUAUUUAGUUCUACGACUCGGAGUCUGGCGUGUAAAUAGCCCUAGCUGCCAAUAUAGUGUUACAAUGAACAAAUAAAUACAUAUUUAAUGCAUCUGUUGCAUAAUUGUGUGUGUGAAAUCACUAUUGAUUUUUACACUGUUGAAAUUUUUACACUGUCUGAAAGUCGUUCAGAGACGAACACUAGAGGAUGCUGUAGCUCCAUAAACUCCUUAUAAAUGAUGGUGGGUUUGCAAAGGAAAAAACAUGGAAGCAUUAAAUCAACAAAUCUGACCUGAAUUUGACCGUGAUUUCUCUUUAGUCUCGUUUACAGCAACUGUAAGAGAAGCAGAAAUGAUUACUGAGAUAUAACAACGUGAGCUGAAUAUAUUGUGUGUAUUAACACAUUACAGGAUUCUCUGGAGGUGAUAUCUCUGAUAUCGCAGGUGUUUCAGUGGCAAGAGUUGCAUCAUGACCGACAUCUAAAGCUGCGACUGAAGCGUCUCUCUCUCUCAUUCAUGACUGAUUUCACUGUGAUUAGGAGGAGAGACGGACUGACAGUGUGUCCAGAGUCAGCUGUCUGCUCUCAUUAAAGCUUCUGUGAGGAGGGUGAGACGUAUUUCAGAUUUCACAGGCACAGAACGAGUCCUCGCUGUCAGCGACGUGCUUUCAGUGUCUGGUGUUAAUGCUCAGGUGCUGCAGGACAGGCUUGAAGUCUUCAAGAGCAAUGAAUGUUCAGUUGUUACUCAACAUUUCACAGAUACUUCUUCUCAUCCAGACGGCGUUCUUUCAGGAACUCCAGCUCUUUUAGAUUGACACACUACAUAAAUGUAGAUCAAAAAUAAAUAAACUAGUAAUGAGGAGGCA
ensembl:lncRNA